UACGAAGGGGGCUAGCGUUGCUCGGAAUUACUGGGCGUAAAGCGCACGUAGGCGGCUCUUUAAGUCGGGGGUGAAAUCCUGGAGCUCAACUCCAGAACUGCCUUCGAUACUGGAGAGCUUGAGUCCGGGAGAGGUGAGUGGAACUGCGAGUGUAGAGGUGAAAUUCGUAGAUAUUCGCAAGAACACCAGUGGCGAAGGCGGCUCACUGGCCCGAUACUGACGCUGAGGCACGAAAGCGUGGGGAGCAAACAGG
rnacentral:rRNA from 1 species